rfam:Eubacterium sp. CAG:192 genomic scaffold, scf148
GUACGUGUAGCUCAGUUGGAUAGAGCGUCUGGCUACGGACCAGAAGGCCGAGGGUUCGAAUCCUUUCACGUACA